GUUUUAGUUAAAGCUGAUGGUUUUGUUCUUAAAAUAAUGGAGUUUCUCCUGCUGGCAGUCAGCUUAGAUACUGAAUUAUUUUUCAAAUGACUUUAACUGAGUAAUUCUCAGAUGACCUAAACUAAUUUCUUGGCCUUGUACAUCUCAGACUCUUAAUUUUCAACCUUCUCUUGUUAGGAUAUGUCGUGGGAAGCCAACAUGAAUUUGUUAAACUCUGAAUUAUAGAAGACAGGCAACCAUCUGGAACUGGAAAAGUGCAGGGUUUCAGAAGAGCUCUUCACAUUGUGAAGCAUCAUUCACGUGCUCUCAAGUUCGCCUUGUGCUGUAGAGGACGAUGAUGGCCACCCGGGUCUCCUCCAGCACAAGCCACUCAAAAUGAUUGUUGCUUGGGAAAGGGGGAAGGGAAGACAGAAAGAAAGGAAGGAGAGACGGAGAAGAGAAGAAGUGCCGUGGGCUCCAUCUCAUUGCUUAUCAGGGAUGCUAAUAACCUCCCACCUGCCACUACAACCACGAGAUGGGUAUGUUUCAUCUAAGCAUCUUCUCUUUGAAAUAUUAGUGCUUGUUCUUUUUCUGAGGAAAAUUUCAACUUCAGUUUUCUUUCAUCUCUGACUCUGCAUGAGAAGCUAGAGUUUAACGGCACUUAGUGGACCAAUUGAUUAAACAUUGACCUCAUUUGCAGGCUCAAUUCAGACAGGAUACAGAGAAAGCAUGAAGCCUAUUUUGCCAGACUACAUGUUCAUAUUUCCUCCAACUCUGCAGGACAUUUGUUCAUCUAUCAUAUUUUUGUGGAAAGCUUAUUAUGUGCCAGGCACUGAGUUAGAUACUGGGGAAUAAUAGAGAAUAGGAGUUCACAAACCAUGGAGAAGGAAAAGGUUUAAAGGCUAUGGCAGUGUGGUGUGAUUAGUGCCAGGAGAGUAAAACAUAGAGUGCCAUGGAUGGACCUGUCAGGAACAUGUAACUGAAACUUGCCGUAUCAGGGGGAAGCUUCUUGCAGGCUGGGGGGAAAACUUGAGCAGAGACCUGUAGGCUGAUAGAGUUAGGCUGAGGGGCAAGAAGAAAGGUACAGGGUUCUAGGCUGGAAACAGUCCUGAGGCUAUCAAAGAGAAGGCACAUGGAAGACAUCUGGAGUUCGCUGUGACUAGAGAGCAUGAGUACAGAAGAAUGAAGAGGAGGCAAGAUAAUAAGAGAGGUAAAACUGGAGAAGUCAACAGGAGGGUUUUGAACAGCUGGCCCUAUUAUGGCUUCUAUCAUGAUUACAGUAUGAGCCAUUAAAGUGUUUUGAACAGGGAUUGACAUGGUCAGACUUACAGUGUAUACAUAUAAUACCAGCUAAAGUGUAGGUAAUGCAUUAGAGGAUGCAAAACUGGAGAGGUGCCAUUGGGAUGUUGGUGUAGUAGCGCAGAUGUGAGAAGAUGCUGGCCUGAACCCAUAUAAUGGCUUGCUAGUAGAUUGGCUUGGGAGGAGUUAGAAAGGGGACAAAGCCAAGAGUCAAGGAUGGAGCAGUGACAGCACUGAAGUGGUGAAGAGUUCACUCUUGCCACUGCCAUGAGAGUGUCUGUAAGCUAUGCUUCUUUUGUUUGCUACUUAUUGAGCUACAACUCUUGCAGACUCUGUUAUCUCUCCAUGUUUCCCAUGCCAUCAUUCCACCAUUAAUUCACUGAGCAAAUUCAUUAUAUAUAGUCUGUGCCCUUGAAGAGUUUGUAGAAAAUUAAAUAAACAGAAAACCAUACCAGGUUACA
rnacentral:lncRNA from 12 species